rnacentral:rRNA from 1 species
AGUUAAGGGCAAACGGUGGAUGCCUAGGCUUUCAGAGGCGACGAAGGACGUGAUAAGCUGCGAAAAUUUACGGGGAUUGGCAAAUACGAAUAGAUCCGUAAGUAUCCGAAUGGGGAAACCCGCUAUAUUGAAGAUAUAGCACCUUUUAAAGGAGCAAACCUAGGGAACUGAAACAUCUAAGUACCUAGAGGAGAAGAAAACAAAAUGUGAUUUCGUUAGUAGUGGCGAGCGAAAGCGAAAAAGCCCAAACCAGUUAAUUCUAGGAUUAACUGGGGUUGUAGGACUGCAAAUAUCUAUGUGCGACGAACUAGAAUUAUCUGGAAAGAUAGACUGUAAAAGGUGAUAGUCCUGUAUAGGCAAGUUAGCAUAAUAGUAAGCAGUAUCCUGAGUAGUGCGGGACACGAGAAAUCUUGUACGAAUUAGGCGGGACCACCCGCUAAGGCUAAAUACUCCUGAAAGACCGAUAGUGAACUAGUACCGUGAGGGAAAGGUGAAAAGUACCCUGAAUAAGGGGGUGAAAUAGAACCUGAAACCGUUUGCCUACAAGCGGUCGGAGCAAUUUUAAUUGUGACGGCGUGCCUUUUGCAUAAUGAGCCUACGAGUUAAUUUCUUUGGCAAGGUUAAUAAUUUAAGAUUAGUAGCCGUAGCGAAAGCGAGUCUUAAUAGGGCGUAUAGAGUCAGAGGGAUUAGACGCGAAACCGAGUGAUCUACCCAUGGGCAGGUUGAAGUACUGGUAACACAGUAUGGAGGACCGAACCGGUAGGCGUUGAAAAGCCUUCGGAUGACCUGUGGGUAGGGGUGAAAGGCCAAUCAAACUCGGAAAUAUCUCGUACUCCCCGAAAUGCAUUUAGGUGCAGCGUUGACAAAAGUGUUAUAGGGGUAGAGCUACUGAUUGGAUGCGGGGGUUUCAUCACCUACCAAUUCCAGACAAACUCCGAAUACUAUAACAUGAUUUACAGCAGUGAGGGCAUGGGUGCUAAGGUCCGUGUCCGAAAGGGAAACAACCCAGACCAUCAGCUAAGGUCCCCAAAUAUGUGUUAAGUUGAAAAAACGCGGUUUUAUUGCAGAGACAUCCAGGAUGUUGGCUUGGAAGCAGCCAUUCAUUUAAAGAGUGCGUAACAGCUCACUGGUCGAGCGAUAGAGCAUGGAUAAUAAUCGGGCAUAAACACAUUACCGAAGCUAUGGACUAAUUUAUAAUUAGUGGUAGGGGAGCAUUCUAUAUGCGCUGAAGCAUUUUUGUGAAGAGAUGUGGAGCGUAUAGAAAAGAAAAUGUAGGCAUAAGUAACGAUAAUGUGGGUGAGAAACCCACACGCCGCAAGACCAAGGUUUCCUGGGCUAUGCUAAUCAGCUCAGGGUUAGUCGGGGCCUAAGGCGCAUCCGAAAGGAAAAGUCGAUGGACAACUGGUUAAUAUUCCAGUACUUGUUAUAAUUGCGAUAGGGUGACGGACUAGUGAAACCUCUGCGUACUGACGGAAUAGUACGUUGAAUGACAAAGGUAUUAUUUUUAUAGGCAAAUCCGUAGAAAUAGCUGAAGUCAGAUAGUACACUGAAGCUUCGGUGGAAGUGAUAAUGAGGGUAAUGGGUUCCAAGAAAAACCUUUAAGCAUCAGAUUAUAACAACCCGUACCCCAAACCGACACAGGUGGUCGAGGAGAGUAUCCUAAGGCGCUCGAGAGAUUCACGGUUAAGGAACUAGGCAAAAUUGUCUCGUAACUUCGGGAGAAGAGACGCUUCCUUCGCUUAAUUUAUUAGGUGGAGAAGCCGCAGUGAAGAGGCCCAGGCGACUGUUUAUCAAAAACACAGGACUCUGCUAAAUCGUAAGAUGAUGUAUAGGGUCUGACACCUGCCCGGUGCUGGAAGGUUAAGAGGGGAUGUCAUCUAUUUAUAGAGAAGCAUUGAAUUGAAGCCCCAGUAAACGGCGGCCGUAACUAUAACGGUCCUAAGGUAGCGAAAUUCCUUGUCGGGUAAGUUCCGACCUGCACGAAUGGUGCAACGAUCUGGGCACUGUCUCAACCGUGAGCUCGGUGAAAUUGUAGUAUCGGUGAAGAUGCCGAUUACCCUCUACGGGACGAAAAGACCCCGUGCACCUUCACUACAACUUAGUAUUGACUUCGGAUAAUUAAUGUGUAGGAUAGGUGGGAGACUACGAAGCGGUAUCGCUAGGUACAGUGGAGUCGUCCUUGAAAUACCACCCUUUAAUUAUUUGGAGCCUAACUCGAGAGAUCGAGGACAUUUCUUGGUGGGUAGUUUGACUGGGGUGGUCGCCUCCUAAAGAGUAACGGAGGCUUCUCAAGGUAUCCUCAGCACGCUUGGUAACCGUGCGUAGAGUGCAAUGGCAUAAGGAUGCUUGACUGUGAGACCAACAAGUCGAACAGGUAGGAAACUAGAGCAUAGUGAUCCGGUGGUUCCGUGUGGAAGGGCCAUCGCUCAAAGGAUAAAAGGUACGCCGGGGAUAACAGGCUUAUCUCCCCCAAGAGCUCAUAUCGACGGGGAGGUUUGGCACCUCGAUGUCGGCUCGUCACAUCCUGGGGCUGGAGAAGGUCCCAAGGGUUGGGCUGUUCGCCCAUUAAAGUGGCACGCGAGCUGGGUUCAGAACGUCGCGAGACAGUUCGGUCUCUAUCUGUAGAGGGCGUUAGAAAUUUGAGUGGAUCUGACUCUAGUACGAGAGGACCGAGUUGGACAGACCUCUGGUGUAUGAGUUGUGGUGCCAACUGCAUCGCUCAGUAGCUAUGUCUGGAUAAGAUAAGUUCUGAAAGCAUAUAAGAACGAAACUGACCACGAGAUGAUAUUUCUUUUUAAGGGCCAUUCGAGAACAGGAUGUAGAUAGGCUGUAUGUGUAC